rnacentral:rRNA from 1 species
AACGAACGCUGGCGGCAUGCCUAACACAUGCAAGUCGAACGAGACCUUCGGGUCUAGUGGCGCACGGGUGCGUAACGCGUGGGAACCUGCCCUUAGGUUCGGAAUAACUCCCCGAAAGGGGUGCUAAUACCGGAUAAUUUCUUCGGACCAAAGAUUUAUCGCCUUUGGAUGGGCCCGCGUUGGAUUAGCUAGUUGGUAGGGUAAAAGCCUACCAAGGCGACGAUCCAUAGCUGGUCUGAGAGGAUGAUCAGCCACACUGGGACUGAGACACGGCCCAGACUCCUACGGGAGGCAGCAGUGGGGAAUAUUGGACAAUGGGCGAAAGCCUGAUCCAGCAAUGCCGCGUGAGUGAUGAAGGCCUUAGGGUUGUAAAGCUCUUUUACCCGGGAUGAUAAUGACAUUACCGGGAGAAUAAGCUCCGGCUAACUCCGUG